rnacentral:rRNA from 1 species
UACGUAGGGACCAAGCGUUGUUCGGAUUUACUGGGCGUAAAGGGCGCGUAGGCGGCGAAUCAAGUCAGUUGUGAAAUCUCCGAGCUUAACUCGGAACGGUCAACUGAUACUGUUUUGCUAGAGUGCAGAAAGGGCAACCGGAAUUCUUGGUGUAGCGGUGAAAUGCGUAGAUAUCAAGAGGAACACCUGAGGCGAAGGCGGGUUGCUAGGCUGACACUGACGCUGAGCGCGAAAGCCAGGGGAGCGAACGGG